CUAGUACUCCCUCCGUCCGGAAAUACUUGUCGGAGGAAUGAAUGUAUCUAGAUGCAUUUUAGUUCUACAUACAUUCAUUUCUAUCCAUUUUUGCGACAAGUAAUUCUGGACGGAGGGAGUACUAC
rnacentral:pre_miRNA from 1 species